AAUAAAAGCCUCAAUGAUUAUCUGUGCCUCAACAAUAGGUACACCACAAUUGCUUUCAAAUACUAGUGAAACUAGUACUUACUUCUUCUACUGCUAGUACCACUAGUACCACAAGUACCACAAUUACAACUAUAACAUUCUUCUUUUUUGCGUAUUUAGUUGUUCAGCGGGUGAUAGCAGGUUAAUAGUGUUGAUGGUGAUAUUAACAAAACAUGUCACGGAUUAUGUACUAAAAAAAACAUUAGUGAAUUCAUAUAAUGCAUUAGGAAAACAUUACCUAAUCAAGACCAUAUCUUUUUGUCAAUUUAUCAGCUUGUUUUACAGUAUCUUGGUGAUGAUACAAAUGAUCUUAAAGGACAUCUAUGGAUUUAAUAAAAUGAAUUAAGAUAGCUGAUGAAUUAAGCUAUGAGGUUUGUGUGGCACAGUUUUCUAUCGAUACCCGGAUUUAUGACUUUCCGAAUGUUCCUGAAUGCAUCUAUCAAAUUCCACGUCACAUUCAACGGAUCUCCGUCAAUUUCCUCUGAAGUCUUGACCGACAACAGAGCAUCCUCCUUAUCUGCAUUGUGUGUGAACGGAAGACUAUUGCGGCUGGUGACUCUAAAGUGUAAGCUCACACAUUCAUUCAGAUAUUACUCCUACUAGUGUUGGUGACUCCUCGGACACAUUUUACAGUGUCCUGUUGUCCAGCAUCUCUCUUCUAUCCCAUUGGCUCUCUGUCUAUCCUAUACCUUGUAUCCACUCUGUCUACAAUAUGAUUACUCUAGCUUUCCUGUCAAAUCUACCUCUCUGUCUUUGAUUUUGGAAACUCUAUCUUUGUAUCCCUCUUCUAUCCCACUCUAUCUGUAUACUGAACUGAUAUUUUGAAACCUGAAUUUUGAAACUUGAAUUUUGAAACCUGAACUCUGAAACCCAAUUUUUGGUUGCCUAAGGUCAUUGAUACCUGUCUGUCUGAACAGAACUCUGAGAGUCUCCACUCUCACGCUCUCUGUCUCUCCUCUGAACACUCUCACCCGGGUUAUUGGUACCUGAUCUACCUUUUUGAAUGAUCUGAGAGAUUCUCUUCUCUCACUCUCACCUCUUUCCAUCUCCUAUCAACUCAUAUAUUUAUACAACGCUAUUACUCUUUUUACUAAUUUGACAAAGCAUUUGAAAUUUACUAUUAAUGAGAUUAACAAAAUUGGCCUAAAGAAAGAAUUGAAAAGUUAAUUCAGAAGCUAAAAAAACACAAGCACAAAUAUUUUUGUUGUAAUUGAACUACACUUUGAUACAAAGAAUUGGAUAAUUGGAUUGUGAAAAGAAAUUACACUUUAUAAUCUAGUCUGGUAGAUUUCCUGGUAUACUAUUUACAAAAGUGCAAGGAAUAAACAUAAUUUAAGACAACUGCACUCUGGUCAAUAUACAUAGAACUAUUACAAAUCUAUAUUACAGAGAAGCGUUAUUUGCUCCUGAUCUCUGUUGCUGUGGACUUCUGUUGGUUUGUACUUAAGAGGUUUUCUUGGUGAACCGAUAUAUUUUCACACUUAACACUGUUGUUAACUUGAUUAGUCUACGUACAAGGAAACCUCAUACUGCUACAUGCAUUAUACCUAAUUAAACAUAUUUUUCUUAUAAACUUAC